UCGGCGUCCGGGACCGCCUGGAGGCGGUCGUUGACGGGGGGGUACUGUCAUGGUGCCUGCCGGUCUCCUCCCCCUUCCAGCCCUGCUCUGCUCCUGACUCCAGCUGUGACCAAUCAACUCAUCAACUCACCUGCUUCUUAAGGAGACCCAACUCCAAGAGUCUUCGCCAGUUCGUUAACCCUGAUGGUUUUGUCAUGCCACGAUUGUCACCUGGAACCUACACCACCUUGAGCUGCAGCUACCUCCCAGACGCCGACACUCUUCGGCCACAGCACGCACUGGUUCCGGCUACACUGGUCCUCCAGCCUUGCCACUCACAAGAACUCCAGCAACACCCCUCCUCAAGACCUUCAGUCACACCACUCUCAAGAUCUCCAGUAGCGCUGCAGCUGCACCUCUGUCAGCAAGAGCUACAGCUCGCUCGGGCUUCUCCACCACGCUCAAAGCCACGCCUUCUAGUCUCGACCUAGCCACGCUCCUCCAAGCCUUCGCCAUAUUCAGUGACAUUAAAUUACAUUUAUCCACUUA